rnacentral:lncRNA from 13 species
AAUAAAUACUCGUCCGAAGAAGAAAAAUUAGAUGAAAUUCAAAGAACAUUACAAAAGGAAUGUAAUAAAGUUCCACUUAAAGAGUUACGUAUAAGAUUGUCAAGAAUAGAUAACUAUAAUAGUUUACAUAAAACAUUUAAAAAAAGUACAAAUAAGAAAAAAAGAAAUACAAGCGGAAAGUGCCCGUCCCUAAUAAGAAUGUAAUCUGAACAUACAUAAAAUUAUAUGUAAACAGAAGAUUGAAGGUGAAAAAGAGGUGAUGAAGACAUUUAUGGUAUCCCUUCAGACGAUUAUGGCGAUAUAUUUUCGGAUGAAAGUAAUGAAAAUAUAAAUAUUCCGUAUCAUCCUCCAGUGCAACAAUUCAAUGACAUACGUACACCUGAUUGCUGUUGUAUUUGUUUAGUUGAAAAAGCAGAUCAUAUAUUUGUCUCGUGUGGCCAUUUAUGUUGUUGUUCAGAUUGUAUCUUGAAGUUGCAAUCUAAAAAAUGUCCUAUUUGCAAUACAAAUUAUACGUCAUAUUUAAAAGUAAGAAUUCCAUGAAAAAAGCAAACCAAAUGAAA